rnacentral:rRNA from 1 species
UACGGGGGGGGCAAGCGUUGUUCGGAAUUACUGGGCGUAAAGGGCUCGUAGGCGGCCAACUAAGUCGGACGUGAAAUCCCUCGGCUUAACCGGGGAACUGCGUCUGAUACUGGAUGGCUUGAGUUCGGGAGAGGGAUGCGGAAUUCCAGGUGUAGCGGUGAAAUGCGUAGAUAUCUGGAGGAACACCGGUGGCGAAGGCGGCAUCCUGGACCGACACUGACGCUGAUGAGCGAAAGCCAGGGGAGCGAACGGG